GUCGGUAUCGAUUAGGGGUGAAAUCAUCUCGUUGUGGUCGAUUUCAGCCGAGAAGCCGCAGGUUCGAAUCCUGCUACCGACA
rfam:Schizophyllum commune H4-8 unplaced genomic scaffold SCHCOscaffold_13, whole genome shotgun sequence.